rnacentral:lncRNA from 1 species
GAUUUUUUAAAUUUUGUAAUUUUCCUUUUUGGUUCUCACUUGUUACAGUCUAUAUUACCUGUUUGUCUAUGGAUAUUUUUGUCUAUUAGUGUCCAAAAAGAAGCUUCCCAAAAAAUGAACAUCUGUUCCAUUGAAUCAGCGCUCCUGUCAACCAGUUGUGGAAAGUAUGUGUGCAUUGAAGGCAGGCGCAGGCGCAGGCCCAGGCCCAGUCAAUCUCUUGAGCUGGUCACGGAAAAUCGACAGGAAAAAGACCUUGAAAACUCAGCUAAAGUCAAGGUGUAUCAUAUUUUGUAUGGAACCAGAAAAUGCAUGGCUUUUUGCUUUGAGGUGAAUAAAAAGUCAGUUUUCCCUGUUGUUACUCAUGGUAAAGAGGUCAAAUUUAAGGUUUUACCCACAGACAAGCCGAUCACGGCAGGAAUCUUUGACCAAACGUUCUUAUUUCAAUGGGAUGAGCAAGACAGGCAUGGAGACUGGAAGAGUUUGAAAUCAGUGGCUGAACCCAGCAUGUACUUGAUUGAUGAAGAAAAUGGCAAAGAAAAGAGCAAAGUGAUCAUCACAAAUGAGCGGAGUCCGAUUUUUAAAAUCUGUUACACAGAUAUGAAAAUAGAUAAUGGGUUGCAGAGUCUCUGUAGAUCUGGCAAAUUCCAAGAGAACACGAUGAAAACUUCAUGCAGAAAGACCCCCUGGCAAAGACGGGACUCAAAACAGGGACCUUCUUGCUGCAAGAGAGCAGCACCCACUAAGCCACUGUGCUGCUCUGAAAGGUAACUAUUCUUAUUUGUAGACUUCACGUUUGUAAAGAGCACUGCUAUAAAAAGUGCUAUAUCGUUGUAUAUCGUUUCAGACACCCAAAAAUGCUUUCAAAGUGAAUAACUUAUACCAUAAAGAUAUAAUUUAUGAUUGUCUCUGACUGUUCUUUAAAAAACACUUGAGCAUAUUUAAACAAGUCUUGAAAUAGUGAGUAGGCUAUUAGUACGCAGUAUCCUAUCAAGGUGAUAUCAACUUCCAUCGACAUUAACCCUGUAAAGUCUGACAUGAAAUAACAGCCUGAAAAAAAAAAAUCUAAUUUUUUGAAAUGGAACACUUUGUUUAAAAAAAAAAAAAAGUGUCAGGCUUUUAUGGAAAAUAAGCACCUCAAUUUUAUUUACAGGCUCAAAAAUAUGUCAUUUGGUGCAAUUGCUGAUGGAUCAUAUUUGAUACUUGUGAUUUUUCAUGUAUGAAUAAUCAAGUAAGCCUAAGUUGCUUAAGUUCAUUAAAGGUGAACUAAGCGAUUUUUGCCAAAUGAUGUUGAUAUUUGAAAGCACCAAAACAAACAUGCCCAUACCCCAACAGGAACCCGCCCCUAUUUUGAUAACUCCGCCCCACACGUACAUACACAACCCUGCCAGCGACGAUGGCGGUAUCUGCUAUGCCUGCCGACUGCUGCAUAUAACAAAAGCUAACACAGAAUAGUCGUGUGAAAAAGCAAAAUCAAUGUAACUCACCUAUCAAAGCAACCUCGGCGUCCCAUUCCCUUCCGCUCUUUUGAGUUCUCUCCACCGCUGGAAGCUGCUCCCAAAUUUAUGCGGGUCCUACCUCUUGCCUGAUCGUAACCCUUCCUUUUAAUGUUUUGUUCCUCUGAAAUUUUCCUCCUUUUUAAAAUUUUUUAUCUGCCAUAUCGAUCAGCUAAUAUCUGUUCUGUGCACUCACUGAGCGCUCUCUUCUCUACUAGACACACCCCUUACUGCUGAUUGGCAGCGAGUGUGUUUUGGGACUCGGUCCGACACUGGUUGGGAAAGGGUUUUUCCAAAUAUUGCUUAGUGCACCUUUCAUUAAGUGUUCAUCUUGAAAUAUUAAUAACAAUAUAAAAGUUAUUUUUAUGGUUAUUUUUUUUUUUUUUAAAUCAUCAAGAUUUCACAGCAAAAAGACAUGCGUACCAUGAUCUGAAGGGGGACAGUUAUUAUACUAAGACCUUUUGCUUGCUAAAAAAGUAUAAACUAUGAAACUGAUAACAGAAGGCAUGUAGUAGAUUGUGUACAACAGGUUUUUGAUCAUGUUGAUCAUUUAUUGGCCUUUGAAAUUUGAGUAUCAAAUAAGAUGAUGAUAGCCUACUAAAGGGAAUCUUUCUCAUUUUCAAUCUUUCACAGCAAAACCAAGAGGAUGUAAUAUCAGUGAAGAGCUGAAUGCGUUUCACAAGCUUUCACCAACAAAAGGGCUCUGAUCAGUCUGCAUCUGCUGCAGGGUCCUUUUCUUGGAUGGAUGCUGAGAACAUGUGAGAGCAAGUGGAGUGAUUUCUUUCUGGUUCUUUGAGGCAUGGCAUUUUAUCCAUUUAUUUGCAUGUUUGCCUUUUUGUUGUAACCUAGUAAAUAUUACUGACAUGCAGUUUUAGGUUCAAACUCAGUUGCAUUAUUACUAUACAAACUGGCACUGUUUAGUUUGUCACAAUGAAAGUAUUUGAGCUAAUAAUUACAUGGCUUAUCAAAAUGUUUAAAUAAGCCAAAGACGUUACACAGGAACCUAACCCUUUAGUGUCAUAUUCUGUGAAUCACAUGCCUUUCUUUCACUUUUAACUAUGUUCAAAAACUAUUUGUGUUGCUUAAUAUUCUUGUGGAAACCGUGGUAUACUACCAUUUAAAAGCUUGUGCUAAGUAAGGAAGCAAUUAUUUUAAAUUGUAAUAAUAUGUCACAAUUUUAUAAUUUUUAAUGUACGAUUUUUGUUGCUUAAUAUUCUUGUGGAAACCGUGAUGAAAUUAAGGUCCUGCUGUCGGAGAGGUUCGUGCGGGGACGCUUUUUAUUUAAUAAUGUGUAAUUAUUCUGUGGACUGUUGUUCAAAAUUACUACUUCUAGAAACAACAGAACUAAUAAUAAUAAUAAUACUAAUUAUAAAAUAAUUUUGUUGCUUAAUAUUCUUGUGGAAACCGUGAUGAAAUUAAGGUCCUGCUGUCGGAGAGGUUCGUGCGGGGACGCUUUUUAUUUAAUAAUGUGUAAUUAUUCUGUGGACUGUUGUUCAAAAUUAC